rnacentral:rRNA from 1 species
CAGCCGCCGCGGUAAUACGAAGGGGGCUAGCGUUGCUCGGAAUGACUGGGCGUAGAGGGCGCGUAGGCGGAUUGUUUAGUUAGGCGUGAAAUUCCUGGGCUUAACCUGGGGACUGCGCUUAAUACAGGCAGUCUAGAGUGAGGAAGAGGGUUGUGGAAUUCCCAGUGUAGAGGUGAAAUUCGUAGAUAUUGGGAAGAACACCGGUGGCGAAGGCGGCAACCUGGUCCUUGACUGACGCUGAGGCGCGAAAGCGUGGGGAGCAAACAGGAUUAGAGACCCGUGUAGUCCCUGUCUCUUAUAC